CCUACGGGAGGCAGCAGUGGGGGAUAUUGCACAAUGGGGGGAACCCUGAUGCAGCGACGCCGCGUGGGUGAAGAAGCGCCUCGGCGUGUAAAGCUCUGUCAGCAGGGAAGAAAAUGACGGUACCUGAAGAAGAAGCCCCGUCUAACUACGUGCCAGCAGCCGCGGGAAUACGUAGGGGGCAAGCGUUAUCCGGAUUUACUGGGGGUAAAGGGGGCGUAGACGGUGUUGCAAGCCAGGAGUGAAAUCCCGGGGCCCAACCCCGGAACUGCUUUUGGAACUGCGUGGCUGGAGUGCAGGAGGGGUAGGCGGAAUUCGUGGUGUAGCGGUGAAAUGCGUAGAUAUCAGGAGGAACACCGGUGGCGAAGGCGGCCUACUGGACUGCAACUGACGUUGAGGCCCGAAAGCGUGGGGAGCAAACAGGAUUAGAUACCCGAGUAGUC
rnacentral:rRNA from 1 species